UACAGAGGUCUCAAGCGUUGUUCGGAUUCAUUGGGCGUAAAGGGUGCGUAGGUGGCGGGGUAAGUCAGAUGUGAAAUCCCGGGGCUCAACCCCCGGAACUGCAUCCGAUACUGCCAUGCUAGAGGAUUGGAGAGGUAGCUGGAAUUCUUGGUGUAGCAGUGAAAUGCGUAGAGAUCAAGAGGAACACUCGUGGCGAAAGCGAGCUACUGGACAAUUCCUGACGCUGAGGCUCGAAGGCUAGGGUAGCGAAAGGG
rnacentral:rRNA from 1 species